UUAGAACUAAUCUUCUUGUUUAGAAGCAUUUUCUUUGAUGCUCUUGGCCAACCAAAUAGCUGUUUCCCUAGGAGAAACUUUUUCAGGUCCAAAUGGCUUCAAUAAGACACCAAGUUCAUCAAAUCUAUCUUCUUGCAAGAGUCUAGCACUGAACUCAAGUAGUCCCUCCAGGGCUUCGGCCCGUUGUUUAUAAGAUGACAUGUUAAAACGGCGGCGUCUUGUGUCAGAUGAGGUUCGGCUAGAUGCACCAGCAGUGGCAUUUUGAUCAGAAGAAUCAGUUAUAUCCUCUCUAUCCGCAUGCACCAUGGGGCCUUCAAACCCCCGCCAAGCAUCAUUUGAACUCAGUCUAUCAAAUUUACUGUCAGGAAUCUGUAUGGUACAUUUGUCUUUCAUAACUGAAUACUCAGCUUGUGGUGAGCCAGAGGAACCUUGCGCAGAGUUUGAUGAUGUUCGGCGUGUAGGAUGGAAAGGAUCUUCAUAUGAGGCUAAUGGAAACUCAAGCAUCUUGUCAAUUCGAGGGGCAUUGACAGAAACAUCAGGAGACUUGAUACAGUCAAGGAAACUGAGACUCGGCCUUCGAGGUAUUUCUUGAACUGCUGCCUUGUUUGUCAACGGCAAGGAUGCCCUACGAAUUGUAGAAACAGAUCUCUUCACCAAGGUUCGUGAAGCCUGUCAAGCAUAGAGUAGUCAAACAACAGGUACAGGGAACAGAUCACCAAGGGAAAUGUGGUUAAGCAGGCUAAAAUUGCAUAUUAAGUCAUAUUACAACUUAAAGCGCACAAGCUUAUAUCCAUGAUUUUCAGAACACACACACAAGAGCAACUACAUGUUAUCUUCUUCUUUUCUUUUCGUGCGCUCUCCCUCUCUCUCUUCUCUUCUACUUUCGCCCAGCUGGGCCUGAAUGCAGAUGGAGACAAGCAUGUUUAUCUACCGCUUCAACGCUUUACAUAGUCUAAGAAUCCAAAUAGAUACAGGACUAAAAUAUUAUGCAAGACGAGUAAUCCAUCACAAAUUUAGUGAUAAGAAAACACAAAAUCAUAUGAUCUUUUGCAAUGCUAGCAAGGCAAAUCAAAAACUUCUGAUUAUUUUAAAUAUUUUUUGCAAACACAUUUUAUAAUUACCAAGAGGAAAAAUGAAAGUUUAACAACAAAGCAAAGAGAAAUCCUACAAGGUCAACAACCAGAAAUUUAUUGGUUUUGGUGGCACUACGCUUAUCUGAAACGUUAUAUUGGUUGCUUAACAAAACGACAUAUUUACCUAGAGAAAAAACCUAAACUCAUAUUGCCUCCACCUCGUGUGACACAGUUUGAUUUGAUACACAAUUUAAGAUUUUAAACCCACUAUUUUAUCACAAUAAUAAUGGUGGAAAAGAAUAUUAAAUUUGUAGUUGGAAUAAUAAUUUCACUGAGAAAGCAUCUCAUCUAAGUUUAAAUUUGAAUAAUAAAAUGAUUUAAAUUCUUGACAUUUGAAUAUUAUUAUGAAUUCACGUCAAACCAUUUGGAUAUCCUACAAUAGAAAGUGUCAUACAAAUUAGGACAGCAAGAGUAAUACAGAAGAUUUAGAGAAUCCUUCAC
rnacentral:lncRNA from 1 species